UUGAGGGGUUUCUUUAAAGAUGUAUACCUGCACAAAUAUAAUUAAAUGAUUUAAACAAAUGUUCAUAUAUAUUUCAAUCAAUAAAUAUCACUGUGUGUUGUC